rnacentral:rRNA from 1 species
UACGUAGGGUGCAAGCGUUGUCCGGAAUUAUUGGGCGUAAAGAGCUCGUAGGCGGUCUGUCGCGUCGGCUGUGAAAACUCGGGGGCUCAACUCCGAGCUUGCAGUCGAUACGGGCAGGCUAGAGUUCGGUAGGGGGAGACUGGAAUUCCUGGUGUAGCGGUGAAAUGCGCAGAUAUCAGGAGGAACACCGGUGGCGAAGGCGGGUCUCUGGGCCGAUACUGACGCUGAGGAGCGAAAGCGUGGGGAGCGAACAGG